rnacentral:rRNA from 1 species
GAUGAACGCUGGCGGCGUACCUAAUACAUGCAAGUCGAGCGAACAGACGAGGAGCUUGCUCCUCUGACGUUAGCGGCGGACGGGUGAGUAACACGUGGAUAACCUACCUAUAAGACUGGGAUAACUUCGGGAAACCGGAGCUAAUACCGGAUAAUAUAUUGAACCGCAUGGUUCAAUAGUGAAAGACGGUUUUGCUGUCACUUAUAGAUGGAUCCGCGCCGCAUUAGCUAGUUGGUAAGGUAACGGCUUACCAAGGCGACGAUGCGUAGCCGACCUGAGAGGGUGAUCGGCCACACUGGAACUGAGACACGGUCCAGGCUCCUACGGGAGGCAGCAGUAGGGAAUCUUCCGCAAUGGGCGAAAGCCUGACGGAGCAACGCCGCGUGAGUGAUGAAGGUCUUCGGAUCGUAAAACUCUGUUAUUAGGGAAGAACAAAUGUGUAAGUAACUAUGCACGUCUUGACGGUACCUAAUCAGAAAGCCACGGCUAACUACGUG